rnacentral:rRNA from 1 species
AUUGAACGCUGGCGGCAUGCUUUACACAUGCAAGUCGAACGGUAACAGGGUGCUUGCACCGCUGACGAGUGUCGAACGGGUGAGUAAUACAUCGGAAUGUACCCAGUAAUGGGGGAUAACGCUUCGAAAGGAGUGCUAAUACCGCUUACGCCCUGAUGGUGAAAGUGGGGGACCGCCAGGCCUCACGUUUUUGGAGCAGCCGAGGGCUGAUUUGCUAGUUGGUGAGGUAGAGGCUCAACAAGGCGAGGAUCAGUAGCGAGUCUUAGAGGACGAUCCGCCACACUGGAACUGAGACACGGUCCAGCUUCCAACGGGAGGCAGCAGGGGGGAAUCUUGGAGAAUGGGCGAAAGCCUGAUCCAGCAAUGCCGCGUGCGUGAAGAAGGCCUUCGGGUUGUAAAGCGCUUUUGUCUGGGAGCAAAUCCUGGGCUCUAAUACAGGUCGGGGAUGAGAGUACCAGAAGAAUAAGGACCGGAUAACUACGUGCCAGCAGCCGCGGUAAAAC